rnacentral:lncRNA from 1 species
UUGAGGAACGUGUUCACUUUGUUACUUUUGCUUCUCUCUCUCUCUCUCUCUCUCUCUCUCUAAUAUAUGUAUACACAUAUAUAAUGCUUGUCUUGUUCAUCCAUUGAUAUAUGCUUCUUGUAUAUAUAAGUGCGUAUAUAUAUAUAUAGAUAAUAUGCAGUGAAAAAUCAAGAUUGUUGGGUGGUGUUCUAUGUGGUGAAAAAGAGUGAUAAACAGUUAGAUUCAGCGUUCCCAUCAAAUUAAGCACAUAGAAUUAGAAUGUUGAGCUUGUGGACUGAGUCUUCAAAAGAAUCCAGACAAACGCAUCUUUAUAGCUGAAUGUCACUCAGGGCAACUUGCAAUACAGGGCCACAAGAGGAAAAGCAAAAGAGCCCUAAAGAUUUGGAAAUAGAAAGGAAUUUGGUAUCUAUACAGAUAAAAUCCUACCAUUGUAAUGGACGUGGAUGAUAAGGAUUCUGAUCAAUAUCUCAUGUAGUGGAAAAGGGAUCUCUUUGUACAUCUCUCUCAAAAAGUUAUUUUCUUGACAGUUGAAAACAAAAGAAAGUUAAUUAGUUAAUUAAUUUAAUAGUUAAUUCUGAUAUGAGGGUAUUAUUUUUCUUCUUAAUUACUCUGUUAAUUCUAAAUCUAAGUUUUAUUUUCUCUAUGCAGAUUCUAGGGAAGCCUAUUGAGAAAGGAGGAAGAGAAGAUUGAGUGCUAGAAGCUCAAAAUUGACGCGAGUAUUAACAAAGUUUUCUUUUAUUGGUAGAUAAUAUUUGUGAUUUAGUUAGCUUUGGGUAUAAUUUUUCUUAAUCUUAUUUUAGUUUUGUUUUUCAAUAAUUUCAUCGUUUUAAGUAGAUUUAGAUGACAAAUCAUAUAUCACCAGAAAGUUAAAAGUUUUCCAUUUGUACUAAAAUCGUGGCCAAUUGAGAUAUGUGGUAAAAGAAAAUUAGAUUUGAAGUCAGCAAGCCAACAGAUUUCUCGCAUGAUUUUUGGCUUACUUUGUAAAACCUAAAAUGUGUUUCCAACCAAAAUUUCAAGUAAUUCUUGAACACAUUCUGUUAGUUAUUUGAACAAGUUCUUCCAUGG